rnacentral:rRNA from 1 species
GACGAACGCUGGCGGCGUGCUUAACACAUGCAAGUCGAACGAUGAAGAAGAGCUUGCUCUUUGGAUUAGUGGCGAACGGGUGAGUAACACGUGAGCAAUCUGCCCUUGACUCUGGGAUAAGCGUUGGAAACGACGUCUAAUACCGGAUACGACCCUCGGAGGCAUCUCCUGGGGGUGGAAAGAAUUUUGGUCAAGGAUGAGCUCGCGGCCUAUCAGCUAGUUGGUGAGGUAAUGGCUCACCAAGGCGACGACGGGUAGCCGGCCUGAGAGGGUGACCGGCCACACUGGGACUGAGACACGGCCCAGACUCCUACGGGAGGCAGCAGUGGGGAAUAUUGCACAAUGGGCGAAAGCCUGAUGCAGCAACGCCGCGUGAGGGACGACGGCCUUCGGGUUGUAAACCUCUUUUAGUAGGGAAGAAGCGAAAGUGACGGUACCUGCAGAAAAAGCACCGGCUAACUACGUGCCAGCAGCCGCGGUAAUACGUAGGGUGCAAGCGUUGUCCGGAAUUAUUGGGCGUAAAGAGCUCGUAGGCGGUUUGUCGCGUCUGCUGUGAAAACUGGAGGCUCAACCUCCAGCCUGCAGUGGGUACGGGCAGACUAGAGUGCGGUAGGGGAGAUUGGAAUUCCUGGUGUAGCGGUGGAAUGCGCAGAUAUCAGGANNAACACCGAUGGCGAAGGCAGAUCUCUGGGCCGUAACUGACGCUGAGGAGCGAAAGCAUGGGGAGCGAACAGGAUUAGAUACCCUGGUAGUCCAUGCCGUAAACGUUGGGAACUAGAUGUGGGGACCAUUUUCCACGGGUUUUCCCUUGUUCGCCAGCUU